GAGGCCUGAGAGUAACAGAAGAGCCGAUGAUGAGGAGGGUCUGUCCUUCGAAGAAAGGCUCCAAAAGCUUCCCAUGACAUCUAUUGACAAAAGUCUUCAGAGUGAAGGGGCUGUGUUCCAGAUUCAGAAUUGUUAGUUCAGAGAGACUCCUGCAAAAUCUUAGGUGGAAAGUAUUCCUAACCAUAAACUCUGGCAUCUAAACAGCACAAACUGAAGCCUUCUGAGUACUACAGUGACCAACAGUGGAAAUUGCUACAUGUGCCCUCAGAAAGAACACAGUAGGAGCACAGGUGCUUAAUAUUGUUAUAUAUCUUCAUGCAAGGAGGGCUAUAUAUAAAAAAUAAAACUGAUUUUGGCUUAAA